UACGUAGGGUGCAAGCAUUAAUCGGAUUUAUUGGGCGUAAAGGGCGCGUAGGCGGGAACGUAAGUCAUAUGUGAAAUCCCGGGGCUCAACCCCGGAACAGCAUCUGAAACUGCGUUUCUUGAGGGUAGGCGGAGAAAACGGAAUUCCACAAGUAGCGGUGAAAUGCGUAGAUAUGUGGAAGAACACCAGUGGCGAAGGCGGUUUUCUAGCUUAUACCUGACGCUGAUGCGCGAAAGCAAGGGGAGCAAACAGG
rnacentral:rRNA from 1 species